rnacentral:lncRNA from 1 species
GCGCAGCGCCUCGUCUCUAGGCCGCCAGGGGACCCGAGAGCCUGGACCCGGAAACUCGCUCACCAUGGCUACGACAGUGUGCCUCCCUGUUGGUUAAAAUCCCCGGCCAUAUCCACAGUGCUGAAGACUGUGUGAAGUGCCAGACAUGCUGUAGGUGCCCAGAUAUUGAAUGCCCCCUGGACUCAAGUCAGACCUGGGUCUGAAUAUCCUUCACCCCACCCCUCCAGACUGGGUUCUGAAUUUGCCACUUGCUAGCUGUUGACCUGAGCGGAUCCAUCACCCUCUCCGAGCUGCUGUUUCCCUCCUCUGCAGUCUGGACUGCACUGGCGAGAAGGAGGAUUAAACAAGCCUGGUGUUUCCGGUAGCG